GUUCUCGCUUCGGCAGCACAUAGACUAACAUUGGAAUGACAUGAGAAGAUCAGCACAGCCCAUGCAUAAGGAUGACAUGCAAAUUCAUGAAGCGUUCCGUAUUUAA